AGAGUUUGAUCAUGGCUCAGGACGAACGCUGGCGGCGUGCUUAACACAUGCAAGUCGAGCGGAAAGGCCCUUCGGGGUACUCGAGCGGCGAACGGGUGAGUAACACGUGAGGAACCUGCUUAGCUCUGGGAUAGCUUCGGGAAACCGGAAUUAAUACCGGAUAUGACCAUUGUUGGCAUCAACAAUGGUGGAAAGAUUUA
rnacentral:rRNA from 1 species